rnacentral:rRNA from 1 species
CAAUAGCGUAUAUUUAAGUUGUUGCAGUUAAAAAGCUCGUAGUUGGAUUUCGGAUGGGAUUUGCCGGUCCGUCGUUACGAUGUGCACUGGCCAGUCCUAUCUUGUUGUCGGGGACUAGCUCCUUGGAUUCACUUCCUGGGACUAGGAGCUGACGAGGUUACUUUGAGUAAAUUAGAGUGUUCAAAGCAAGCCUACGCUCUGAAUACAUUAGCAUGGAAUAACACGAUAGGACUCUGGCUUAUCUUGUUGGUCUGUGAGACCAGAGUGAUGAUUAAGAGGGACAGUCGGGGACAUUCGUAUUUCAUUGUCAGAGGUGAAAUUCUUGGAUUUAUGAAAGACGAACUUCUGCGAAAGCAUUUGUCAAGGAUGUUUUCAUUAA